rnacentral:rRNA from 1 species
ACGAACGCUGGCGGCAGGCCUCACACAUGCAAGUCGAGCGCGCCCUUCGGGGUGAGCGGCGGACGGGUGAGUAACGCGUGGGAACGUGCCCUUUUCUACGGAAUAGCCUCGGGAAACUGAGAGUAAUACCGUAUACGCCCUUUGGGGGAAAGAUUUAUCGGAAAAGGAUCGGCCCGCGUUGGAUUAGGUAGUUGGUGGGGUAAUGGCCUACCAAGCCGACGAUCCAUAGCUGGUUUGAGAGGAUGAUCAGCCACACUGGGACUGAGACACGGCCCAGACUCCUACGGGAGGCAGCAGUGGGGAAUCUUAGACAAUGGGGGCAACCCUGAUCUAGCCAUGCCGCGUGAGUGAUGAAGGCCUUAGGGCUGUAAAGCUCUUUCAGCUGGGAAGAUAAUGACGGUACCAGCAGAAGAAGCCCCGGCUAACUCCGUG